GGGGCCGUGGCUCAACGGUAGAGCGCAUCCUUCGCAUGGAUGAGGUUACGGGUUCAAUUCCCGUCGGCUCCA
rnacentral:tRNA from 1 species